UACGGAAGGGGCUAGCGUUGUUCGGAAUCACUGGGCUUAAAGGGCGCGUAGGCGGGUUCCCAAGUCGGUGGUGAAAUCUUUCGGCCCAACCGGAAAACAGCCGCCGAUACUGGGAGUCUUGAGGGAGGUAGGGGUCGAUGGAACUUCCGGUGGAGCGGUGAAAUGCGUAGAUAUCGGAAGGAACGCCGGUGGCGAAAGCGAUCGACUGGACCUUUUCUGACGCUGAGGCGCGAAAGCCAGGGGAGCAAACGGG
rnacentral:rRNA from 1 species